ensembl:snRNA U6 U6 spliceosomal RNA
UUGCUUUGGCAGCAUAUAUAGUAAAAUUGGAAUGAUACAGAGAAGAUUAGCGUGGCUUCUGCACAAGGAAGAUACACAAAUUUGGAAGUGUUCUAUAUUUUG